UAAGUCUCAGUUCGGAUCGCAGGCUGCAACCCGCCUGCGUGAAGCCGGAAUUGCUAGUAAUCGCGGAUCAGCAUGCCGCGGUGAAUACGUUCCCGGGCCUUGUACACACCGCCCGUCACACCGAUGAGAGCCGGGGGACCCGAAGUCCGUAGCCUAACCGCAAGGAGGGCGGCGGCCGAAGGUAAAACUGGUGAUUGGGUGAAGUCGUAACAAGGUAGC
rnacentral:rRNA from 1 species